rnacentral:tRNA from 1 species
GGGGAUGUGGUCCAAUGGUAAGAUCCUCGACCACUAGUCGAGGGAUGUGAGUUCGAUUCUCACCUUCUCCA